rnacentral:rRNA from 1 species
GACGAACGCUGGCGGCGUGCCUAACACAUGCAAGUCGAGCGAAUGAAGUUCCUUCGAGAAUGGAUUUAGCGGCGGACGGGUGAGUAACACGUGGGCAACCUGCCUCAUAGAGGGGAAUAGCCUUCCGAAAGGGAGAUUAAUACCGCAUAAGAUUGUAGUACCGCAUGAUACAGCAAUUAAAGGAGCAAUCCGCUAUGAGAUGGGCCCGCGGCGCAUUAGCUAGUUGGUGAGGUAACGGCUCACCAAGGCGACGAUGCGUAGCCGACCUGAGAGGGUGAUCGGCCACAUUGGGACUGAGACACGGCCCAGACUCCUACGGGAGGCAGCAGUGGGGAAUAUUGCACAAUGGGGGAAACCCUGAUGCAGCAACGCCGCGUGAGUGAUGACGGCCUUCGGGUUGUAAAGCUCUGUCUUCAGGGACGAUAAUGACGGUACCUGAGGAGGAAGUCACGGCUAACUACGUGCCAGCAGCCGCCGUAA